UAAAUCUCUCUCUUACACACUCACUGAGGCAGACAGAGCAAGGGACAUGUGAUGAGAGUCUCCUUUUCUCUCCAGAAAAGGGCAGCAGUGUGUGGGCAGAAGAACAGCAGGCACAGAGAGGAGGCAAGUCCCCACUUCUACUUGUAUUCCUCCGACAGGAUCCCUGACGUUGUGUUCGAAACGGCCUUGAGUUUGUGUACCUAAUCCUGGAGUUUACCUUCAUACUCGUGGCAAAACCAGACUAUCUUAUUUAAGGAAUAUGGACGAUCUUGGCAGAAAUGAAGAACCAGCAAAUUAAAAAUGUACAUACUGAAUUUAUAUACAAUUCCACACUACAUAUCAAUCUAGCUAGAUCACUAAUUCUCAGUUAAUGAUUUAUAAGGAUCUGAGCAUUUUGGAACUGAGCAUAAUAACUGUAAGGAGAAGCAGCAUGUGAAAUAAGAUGAUGAAAUAGGAAGCUGCUAAGACUGGCCACAAUUUACUUCUAGAGUUUUAGUCUGAAUUCAUAUAGUCUGCAUUCUUGUGCAGAAGAUCAAUAGAAAGAGCAGGAAUUGAUUGAUAUCCUCUUUCCUGAACAGCUCUUGUGCCAGCAAGCUGCACCGACUCUCUGCCAGAAACGAUCCCUCUUUGUCUCCUUAAGAAAACAUUGCAUACUGAUGUUAUUGUAAACUUUAAACUACAUCCUGGAUUAGAUAAAUACCAAUUAUGCCUAA